rnacentral:rRNA from 1 species
GACAGAGGGUGCAAACGUUGCUCGGAAUCACUGGGCGUAAAGGGCGUGUAGGCGGAUAGAUAAGUCGGGUGUGAAAUCCCCAGGCUCAACCUGGGAACUGCACUCGAAACUGUUUAUCUUGAGUGCCGGAGAGGAAAGCGGAAUUCCUGGUGUAGAGGUGAAAUUCGUAGAUAUCAGGAGGAACACCAGUGGCGAAGGCGGCUUUCUGGACGGUAACUGACGCUGAGACGCGAAAGCGUGGGGAGCAAACAGG